CCUGGGAAGUACGGUCGCAAGGCUGAAACUUAAAGAAAUUGGCGGGGGAGCACCACAAGGGGUGGGACCUGCGGUUUAAUUGGAUUCAACGCCGGACAACUCACCAGGGGCGACAGUUGGUUGAAGGCCAGGUUGAUGACCUUGCCAGACUAGCUGAGAGGUGGUGCAUGGCCGUCGUCAGCUCGUACCGUGAGGCGUCCUGUCAAGUCAGGUAACGAGCGAGACCCUUGCCCUUAGUUGCCAUCGAUGGGAAGUCGGGCACUCUAAGGGGACCGCUGGUGCUAAACCAGAGGAAGGAGAGGGCGACGAUAGGUCCGUAUGCCCCGAAUCUCCUGGGCUACACGCGGGUCACAAUGCGCAGGACAAUGGGAUGCAAUGCCGUAAGGCAAAGCCAAGCCCUUAAACCUGCGCUUAGUUCGAAUCGAGGGCUGAAACUCGCCCUCGUGAAGCUGGAAUCCCUAGUAAUCGCGAGCCACUAUCUCGCGGUGAAUACGUCCCUGCUCCUUGCACACACCGCCCGUCAAGCCACUCGAGUGGGGUCUGGAUGAGGCUUACUCAGAAUUGGGUGGAUCGA
rnacentral:rRNA from 1 species